GUCAAGUCAUCAUGGCCCUUAUGUCCAGGGCUACACACGUGCUACAAUGGGCGGUACAAAGCGGAGCGAAGCCGCGAGGCAUAAGCGAAUCGCCGAAAGCCGCCCUCAGUUCGGAUUGCGGCCUGCAACUCGGCCGCAUGAAGCUGGAAUCGCUAGUAAUCGCGCAUCAGAACGGCGCGGUGAAUACGUUCCCGGGCCUU
rnacentral:rRNA from 1 species